AUACUUACCUGGACGGGGUCAAUGGGCGAUCAACAAGGUCUAUGGCGUAGGUUGGUGAGCUUCAUUGCACUUUGGAGGGGUGCCAGCCUAAGGUCGGCCCUAGUGGCUGAGCCUACGUCAUAAUUUUUGGCAGCAGGGGCCUGCGUUCGCGCUGGCCCUAC
rnacentral:snRNA from 1 species